GAUCCCUUCUAAAAAAAAGAGCAACGGCGGAUUCCCCAUUUUUAACCUAAGGACCCCUGGACCUUCUUCUUUUUCCCAUUUUCAGCAGCCAACGCCGAAACUCUCCAGCCGCUGCUGCUUCUUCAGCACACCACCAAACCAGCCGUUGCUUCUUCUUCUUCAACCCUUACACAUGUAGACCCCCAAAAAACUUGAAAAAAACCAACGCCGUUCCCUCCCCUUCUUCUUCUCCAUUUUCACUUUUACUCUCAUACACACUCUUCCUUAACACACACACGCUGAAACCUUUAGUAACAAGUGGAAUUAUAGAAUCUAGAGCUGAAAUUCGAAAGUGACGAAGCUAAUUUUCAGUCUCGAAUUUUCAUUUUACUUUUCGCAUUUUUCUGGGGAUUUAAGAGCUCGAUGGAGCCGUUAAAGAUUAUUUCGAAGUUGAGAGAUUUGCUGCUGCUUUUAUUCGAAUCUGCUACUUUCUGCUCUUGCUAAGUUCAUUUCUCAUCUAGCCUUUUAUUUGACAUUUUGGAAUUAAUCUCUGCACAAUCAGAGGCACAUGUUUGUCUUGUGGCUUAGUUCGGCGCAACGACAUGGUUGAUACGAAGACUGGGGUGAGCUGCAUUUCUCGAGACGACCCACAACCAACAGAGUCUCCUUUAGAGUAGUGUAUUUUAUUUCCUUUACUGUUUAAUUUGUAUUUCAGAUGGUUAGUGUAUUACAUUGUUUUCAUGAAAUUUCUCAUGCACUUGUGACACCGGGUUCUGAGAUGACUAAGGGAUUAUUCAGUAUUUAAGUUUGUUAAAGACAUCAUUAUUUAUUCAGUGAAAUUCUUUGUUAA